UAGGGAAUCUUCCACAAUGGACGCAAGUCUGAUGGAGCAACGCCGCGUGAGUGAAGAAGGUUUUCGGACCGUAAAGCUCUGUUGUUGGUGAAGAAGGAUAGAGGUAGUAACUGGCCUUUAUUUGACGGUAAUCAACCAGAAAGUCACGGCUAACUACGUGCCAGCAGCCGCGGUAAUACGUAGGCGGCAAGCGUUGUCCGGAUUUAUUGGGCGUAAAGCGAGCGCAGGCGGAAGAAUAAGUCUGAUGUGAAAGCCCUCGGCUUAACCGAGGAAUUGCAUCGGAAACUGUUUUUCUUGAGUGCAGAAGAGGAGAGUAGAACUCCAUGUGUAGCGGUGGAAUGCGUAGAUAUAUGGAAGAAUACCAGUGGCGAAGGCGGCUCUCUGGUCUGCAACUGACGCUGAGGCUCGAAAGCAUGGGUAGCGGACAGGAUUAGAUACCCUGGUAGUCCAUGCCGUAAACGAUGAGUGCUAAGUGUUGGGAGGCUUCCGCCUCUCAGUGCUGCAGCUAACGCAUUAAGCACUCCGCCUGGGGGAGUACGACCGCAAGGUUGAAAC
rnacentral:rRNA from 1 species